UACGGAGGGUGCAAGCGUUAAUCGGAAUUACUGGGCGUAAAGCGCACGUAGGCGGCUUUGUAAGUUAGAGGUGAAAGCCCAGGGCUUAACCCUGGAAUUGCCUUUAAGACUGCAUCGCUAGAAUUGUGGAGAGGUAAGUGGAAUUCCGAGUGUAGAGGUGAAAUUCGUAGAUAUUCGGAAGAACACCAGUGGCGAAGGCGACUUACUGGACACAUAUUGACGCUGAGGUGCGAAAGCGUGGGGAGCAAACAGG
rnacentral:rRNA from 1 species